AUCUGAAGUGAUGGAGCUGGGAUUUGAGGGUGAUCCAGGAAGCACCAGGGUCAUGGUCUUUUCUCUCACCCUCUGCACUGUCCACUGACAAGGUCUCAUGGAGUCAAAGAAGUACAAGAAUCUCCUCUGACAGAAAGCUGACAAAUGUUGAGGGGUGAUGUCUGCUACCUCCGAACUGAGCAAAGCUAGUCGACUCAUGAGGGGUGAAGGCUGCAGUGUGAACCUAUGACCUUGACGCCAUUAACUUCGGGCAUCUGAAGCGCCAGCAUCGUGACGAUGGGUAGGAAAGCUGGGAUUCCAGAUGGGAUAGCAGUGAAGCUGAAGGAAGAGAGAACAACCUAGAAGAACCCGGUCAUCGUAAUGUCCUCCUCAUUUGCUGCAUGAUUCUCUGAUUCUUGGUAUAGACCCAUCUAUCAGCAAAUCCUGUCUUCAAUUCCACCUUCGUUCUAUCUGAAGUCCACUGGCGUCUCACCUCCUCUGCCGCCACGGCCCC